GAGACAGGUGGUGCAUGGUUGUCGUCAGCUCGUGUCGUGAGAUGUUGGGGUUAAGUCCCGCAACGAGCGCAACCCUUGUGUUUAGUUGCAAACAGGUCAAGCUGUGCACUCUAGACAGACUGCCGUGGACAACACGGAGGAAGUGGGGAUGACGUCAAAUCAUCAUGCCCCUUAUGAUCUGGGCUACACACGUGCUACAAUGGCCGGUACAACGGGCAGCGAAGGAGCGAUCCGGAGCGAAUCCUAAAAAGCCGGUCCCAGUUCGGAUUGCAGGCUGAAACUCGCCUACAUGAAGUUGGAGUUGCUAGUAAUCGCGAAUCAGAAUGUCGCGGUGAAUGCGUUCCCGGGUCUU
rnacentral:rRNA from 1 species